rnacentral:rRNA from 1 species
UGCAAGUCGAACGAGAAAGUGGAGCAAUCCAUGAGUACAGUGGCGCACGGGUGAGUAACACGUGACUAACCUACCCUUGAGUGGGGAAUAACUUCGGGAAACCGAGGCUAAUACCGCAUAACACCUACGGGUCAAAGGAGCAAUUCGCUCGAGGAGGGGGUCGCGGCCGAUUAGUUAGUUGGCAGGGUAAUGGCCUACCAAGACGAUGAUCGGUAUCCGGCCUGAGAGGGCGCACGGACACACUGGAACUGAAACACGGUCCAGACUCCUACGGGAGGCAGCAGUGGGGAAUUUUGCGCAAUGGGGGAAACCCUGACGCAGCAACGCCGCGUGGAGGAUGAAGUCCUUCGGGACGUAAACUCCUUUCGAUCGGGACGAUUAUGACGGUACCGGAAGAAGAAGCCCCGGCUAACUUCGUGCCAGCAGCCGCGGUAAUACGAGGGGGGCGAGCGUUGUUCGGAAUUAUUGGGCGUAAAGGGUGCGUAGGCGGUUUGGUAAGUCUUUUGUGAAAUCUCUGGGCUCAACUCAGAGUCUGCAAGGGAAACUGCCGGGCUUGAGUGUGGGAGAGGUGAGUGGAAUUUCCGGUGUAGCGGUGAAAUGCGUAGAUAUCGGAAGGAACACCUGUGGCGAAAGCGGCUCACUGGACCACAACUGACGCUGAUGCACGAAAGCUAGGGGAGCAAACAGGAUUAGAUACCCUGGUAGUCCUAGCCCUAAACGAUGACUGCUUGGUGUGACGGGUACCCAAUCCCGCCGUGCGUAGCUAACGCGUUAAGCAGUCCGCCUGGGGAGUACGGUCGCAAGGCUGAAACUCAAAGAAUUGACGGGGGCCCGCACAAGCGGUGGA